AUAAACAAUUUAAUGCUUUUAAAAAAGUUAGAAGCUUUU
rnacentral:tRNA from 1 species